CCCUUAGAGUUUGAUCCUGGCUCAGGAUGAACGCUAGCUACAGGCUUAACACAUGCAAGUCGAGGGGCAGCAUGGUCUUAGCUUGCUAAGGCCGAUGGCGACCGGCGCACGGGUGAGUAACGCGUAUCCAACCUGCCUUACACUCUUGGAUAACCUUCUGAAAGGGAGAUUAAUACAAGAUGUUAUCAUGAGUAAGCAUUUUCGCAUGAUUAAAGGUUUACCGGUGUAAGAUGGGGAUGCGUUCCAUUAGAUAGUAGGCGGGGUAACGGCCCACCUAGUCUUCGAUGGAUAGGGGUUCUGAGAGGAAGGUCCCCCACAUUGGAACUGAGACACGGUCCAAACUCCUACGGGAGGCAGCAGUGAGGAAUAUUGGUCAAUGGACGAGAGUCUGAACCAGCCAAGUAGCGUGAAGGAUGAAGGUUCUAUGGAUUGUAAACUUCUUUUAUACGGGAAUAAACGAAUCCACG
rnacentral:rRNA from 1 species